UAAUGAGCAGCUAGUAGUCUCAUUUAGGGACAUUCACCUGCCUGGGCACAGUGGAGAUGAUUAGAUGAGAACCGGCCCUUUCAGGUUAGUACCCAAGGAUCCACUUUCUAAAAGGAGAGUGCCUGCACAGAUUAAUUUUUGAGCCAAGCUGGUCUUGCAAGGCUGGGUCUCUUCCCUCACUCUGCUCUUACUGCAUCCUCCACUGCAAAGCACCAGGCCGGGACGAGCAGAGGCAGACAUUGAAGCAAGAGUUUCUGGGAGGUGCUCUGUAGCUCCAUUAUCAUGACUGCUGUUUGAACGCUGUACUGUAGAAGGCACAGACUGAGAUGCUGGAUCAACUGCGCAUGCCUGUCUUUGUGACCGGCUGCUAUCGAUCCUUCCGAGCCCGUGUGCCACGCUGGAAAGCUGCAUCUAAGAGUUAAGAUUUACUGGCUUAAAAGCGUGUGUGUCGUGGGAUUGCGCGGUGGCUCAGUAAAUUGUGAGAAUUCAAUGUGAACAUCUUUGAAAUGCAGUUUCAAAUCUCCCACACGCUGACAAGAGCCACGUGAACCAUUGUGCAGCACUGCACCCAUUUGACAGAUGAGAGCAUGGAUACCUAACCGGAGCCUGGCAGGUCUUGGACAGCAGAGGCCACCCUGCAUCUGACACCAUCUCUUGUAAUCCAUGACUUCUCUUCCUGCCUCCAUGAAUCUCCAGAUAACAGAUUCCUGCCCUCCUAAAAGAUGGGACAAGACAAACACCAAAGGGCAGUGUUGGACUGCAGGGGGGACCAGGAGACCUUACUGACUCGUCGGCAAUAAAGUUUGUGUGGAACUGACAUCCUAGCAGGCUCCUGGGCGAUGCAGAUGCUGGCAUUCUGGGCACUGCCCUUUGGAAAGCUAUGAUGACCACUGAAGCAGAACAGACCAAAGCAAAGAGGUGGGAAAGUCGCGAGAAGAUACAGGACUGGCUGGGAUACAUCAGGAAGAGGAGCUGCGAUGGAUGGGACUUCAAAUGGAAGUUGGUGAUUAUAUCCGUCCCAGCACCUCCCGCCUUGCAAGAGAGGCCUUAUAAAUCCUGGUCACAAGGAAGGGAAACAGAAGCUCAAGGAAGAGAGAGCCAUGGCUUCCUAGGUGUCAGUGAAGACCCAGACGCUGAAACUAUAACCGCCUAGUUCAGAAACCUAUACUUUGCUUGACCACAAUCCAAGCAGGGGGUGGGGAUGGGAUGUUUUUCUGCAGGGCUGGACAUAGAGUCAGUGUUCAGAGCACAUUGUUGGAGAGAGGAAGGAUGGGUGAGUGAAUAAGUGAAGAAAUGAAUGAGAGAACAGAACCACUUUGAGAGCCUGGAAACCGGGACCUCACGCUCUGUGACCUCACGCUCCAACUUCCCCUCCUCCCCGAGUCUGAUCUGAAAGGUGACCCCCGUUCCUCUCGCCCAGGUGAUAAAGCCAGGUGCAGGUGCACCUGUUACCCAAACCUGAUAUCCAAAUAGGAAGUAAGGCUGAGAUAAGGCUGUGGAGGGCAGUGCCUGGAAUCACGGGGUUGGGCUGGCCAUUGGCUUGAUGCCACAAGUGUCCACCGAGCCUCUCCUAAAGGUUGAGCUCUAUGCCAGGUUCCUUCAGGGUGAGGCAGGAAGCCACGCAGCUCCUGACCUCCAACAGCUUAUGGAAAAAAAAAAUACUUACAAACAGGAUGUGGGUCGGGCAAAGGGAGAAGUGUGAAGCAGGUGGCCAUUGCUCCCUGACAGCUCCAACAGGGAGUUGGGACUGAGAGAUGAGAAGAAAUGAGGCAGUAGUUAGUGAUGCCAGGGGAGGGGCCUGACCCUUGCACUGCCAUUGCUGAGGAAUAAGAGGUCCUUAAAGUUUAGCUCCUCAGACCCAGACCCCUCCCCAGUCCUCCUAC
rnacentral:lncRNA from 1 species